GAUCAUGGCUCAGGACGAACGCUGGCGGCACGCUUAACACAUGCAAGUCGAACGGUGAAGAGAAGCUUGCUUCUCGGAUCAGUGGCGGACGGGUGAGUAACACGUGAGCAACCUGCCUUUAAGAGGGGGAUAACGUUUGGAAACUAACGCUAAUACCGCAUGACAUAGAAGAUUCGCAUGUUUCUUCUAUCAAAGAUUUAUCGCUUAAAGAUGGGCUCGCGUCUGAUUAGCUAGUUGG
rnacentral:rRNA from 1 species